GAAACAUCAACAGUAGUUUUAGAGACAAUUUUCAUAGCACCAGAAGAUUCAGGGAUGAUCCUCAGAAAAUCCUGCUGUUCUGUGCCUAUUCUAGCACCACGUGGCCAAAUCAGCCAUAGAAGAGUAGGAGUACAACUGUGCAUGAAAGAUUUCAGUUGGAAGAAGCUUUGGAUACAAUCUUCCAGAAGGAACCAACACCUUGUAAGGAUAAAAUUAGAGAUGAGAUGUUAAUUUCUGAAAUCCAAAUCUGUUGCUAAAAUGUGAAUAAACAAAAUGAUCUGCCAAUUUUAUGACCCA
rnacentral:lncRNA from 1 species